rnacentral:rRNA from 1 species
UACGUAGGUGGCAAGCGUUGUCCGGAUUUACUGGGCGUAAAGGGCGCGUAGGCGGCCAACUAAGUCAGACGUGAAAUCCCUCGGCUCAACCGGGGAACUGCGUCUGAUACUGGAUGGCUUGAAUUCGGGAGAGGGAUGCGGAAUUCCAGGUGUAGCGGUGAAAUGCGUAGAUAUCUGGAGGAACACCGGUGGCGAAGGCGGCAUCCUGGACCGAGAUUGACGCUGAUGCGCGAAAGCCAGGGGAGCAAACGGG